rnacentral:rRNA from 1 species
GACGAACGUUGGCGGCGUGCUUAACACAUGCAAGUCGAACGGAAAGGCCCUGCUUUUGUGGGGUGCUCGAGUGGCGAACGGGUGAGUAACACGUGAGUAACCUGCCCUUGACUUUGGGAUAACUUCAGGAAACUGGGGCUAAUACCGGAUAGGAGCUCCUGCUGCAUGGUGGGGGUUGGAAAGUUUCGGCGGUUGGGGAUGGACUCGCGGCUUAUCAGCUUGUUGGUGGGGUAGUGGCUUACCAAGGCUUUGACGGGUAGCCGGCCUGAGAGGGUGACCGGCCACAUUGGGACUGAGAUACGGCCCAGACUCCUACGGGAGGCAGCAGUGGGGAAUAUUGCACAAUGGGCGGAAGCCUGAUGCAGCAACGCCGCGUGCGGGAUGACGGCCUUCGGGUUGUAAACCGCUUUCGCCUGUGACGAAGCGUGAGUGACGGUAAUGGGUAAAGAAGCACCGGCUAACUACGUGCCAGCAGCCGCGGUGAUACGUAGGGUGCGAGCGUUGUCCGGAUUUAUUGGGCGUAAAGGGCUCGUAGGUGGUUGAUCGCGUCGGAAGUGUAAUCUUGGGGCUUAACCCUGAGCGUGCUUUCGAUACGGGUUGACUUGAGGAAGGUAGGGGAGAAUGGAAUUCCUGGUGGAGCGGUGGAAUGCGCAGAUAUCAGGAGGAACACCAGUGGCGAAGGCGGUUCUCUGGGCCUUUCCUGACGCUGAGGAGCGAAAGCGUGGGGAGCGAACAGGCUUAGAUACCCUGGUAGUCCACGCUGUAAACGGUGGGUACUAGGUGUGGGGUCCAUUCCACGGGUUCCGUGCCGUAGCUAACGCUUUAAGUACCCCGCCUGGGGAGUACGGCCGCAAGGCUAAAACUCAAAGGAAUUGACGGGGCCCCGCACAAGCGGCGGAGCAUGCGGAUUAAUUCGAUGCAACGCGUAGAACCUUACCUGGGUUUAACAUGGAUCGGGAGUGCUCAGAGAUGGGUGUGCCUCUUUUGGGGUCGGUUCACAGGUGGUGCAUGGCUGUCGUCAGCUCGUGUCGUGAGAUGUUGGGUUAAGUCCCGCAACGAGCGCAACCCUUGUUCACUGUUGCCAGCACGUUAUGGUGGGGACUCAGUGGAGACCGCCGGGGUCAACUCGGAGGAAGGUGGGGAUGACGUCAAGUCAUCAUGCCCCUUAUGUCCAGGGCUUCACGCAUGCUACAAUGGCUGGUACAGAGAGUGGCGAGCCUGUGAGGGUGAGCGAAUCUCGGAAAGCCGGUCUCAGUUCGGAUUGGGGUCUGCAACUCGACCUCAUGAAGUCGGAGUCGCUAGUAAUCGCAGAUCAGCAACGCUGCGGUGAAUACGUUCCCGGGGCU